UAAAGACUUGUGGGCCGCAUGGUGCUGUCUUU
rnacentral:piRNA from 1 species